rnacentral:snoRNA from 1 species
AACAUCAUAUUAAACUCGCAAAAUGCAGUACCAUUAUGGGUUCUUUAAUUCUUUAAAAGGACCUGAGGAAGAUUCAUUUCCACUAUAUCUUUCAAUUUCGUUGUUUUGGUAUCUGUUUAAGCGUAGAUAAAAUUGAUCGUUGCUGGGCGCCUUAUGUUGAUUUUUCAUAUGAGACAUUGGGAAUCAGCUGAAUCCACAUUU